AAGUAGUUUUACUCUUGCUAAAAUACUUAUUGCAUUUAAAUAUUAUAUGUAAAUUUUUGUGAUGUUAAAUUUCUUAAUGGAGAUAAAAAUUAUAUUGCAGUAAUAAAUAUUAAUUAUAAUGGAAAUUUUGAAUUAAUUAUUUUUUUUUGUAGUGCUGAUUAAAUAUGUGCCAGCAGUCGCGGUUAUACAUGAGGCGUGAAUAAGUAUUUUUGGUUUAUAGUUAUUUGGUUAAUUUUUGGGUAAAAUUUAUUAAUUUUUUGGGUAAAAUUUAAUUUUUGGGAUUUAUUUAUGAUAAGGUAAAUGAAGCUGUGAAAUCUAAUUAUUUAAACUAGGAUUAGAUACCCUAUUAUUUUGGAUUUAAAAUUUAUUAACUUGAGUAGUAUUAGUUAUGGUCUUGAAACUUAAAGAAUUUGGCGGUACUAUAGUCUGGUUAGAGGAAUCUGUCCCGUUAUCGAUAAUCCGCGUUGUACCUUACCUAAUUUGAAUUAUAUGUAUACCGCCGUUUAAUGAAAAUCUUUAUAGGGAAUUUUCUUUAUAUUCUAUUUAGUUAUAUUUCAGGUCAAGGUGCAGUAUAUAAUUAGGUGGUGAUGGAUUACAAUAUUUAUAAAGUAUAAUGGAUUGAAUUAAGUGUAAUGUUUUUAUGAAGGAGGAUUUAAUAGUAAUUAUUAAUAAGAUAAAUUUUUUUGAUAUUAGCUCUAUAGUAUACACACAUCGCCCGUCACUCUCGUUAUAAGAUGAGAUAAGUCGUAACAAAGUAGAUGUACCGGAAGGUACAGCUAGAGUGAUCAAGUUAUACUUGAAGAUAAGAUUUUCAUUUACAUUGAAAUAAAUACUGUGCAAU
rnacentral:ncRNA from 1 species